AGGAGCUUGGCAGGCUACAGUCCAUGGGGUCACAAGAGCAGGACAUGACUUAGUGACUAAACUACCACAUACUGAGAUACUUCCAGGUUCUGCAGAAAGUGUGGCUGUCCCCUCGACCACACUCUGCCUUUCUCUGCUGCACUGUUCCUGCCCUCUUGUUUCAGUAGCUAACAUCUCCACAAGUUUUCCUUCUUCUAGAAAUGUACUUUCUCAGGCAUAUAUGACCUCUAGCAUUGUCUUCAUAUUGUGGUUUUACGAAUUUUUAUUAUUGUGGUAUGGCCUCUUGAGGGGAAAGAGAUAAAUAUGCAUUAUCAGCUAGUUUGAAUCAGAAUUGUGGUUAAAGUCAUAUUUUAAUAUAAAUCAUACUCUAUAGAGAUUUUUGGCAUAUUAACAAUUCAGUGAUUUUUAGCAUAUUCACAAAGUUGUAUAACCAUCCAUACAAUCUAAUUGCAGAACAUUUUCGUCACCCCAGAGAAGUCACAUACCAUUAGCAGUCACCUCCUAUUUCCUCUACUCUCCUGCCAGCCCUAAUCAGUCACUAAUCUACUUUCUGUCCAUAGAUUUGUCAUUAUUGCUGUUUGUAGAGGGGACGGUACAGAUAGGAAGAAAGGUGAGCUCUGGUCUGGAGGGGAGCUUCUACUUCUGAUCUCUGCUUAUCGGCCAUCACAAAAUUUGAAGUUAAAAUUCCCUGAUUCUUUGAAGAUUAAUUUCAUUCCAAGAAUUUCCAUCCAAUCUUCAAAGGUAUUCACGUACAGUACCCAUAAACAUGGGUGGGUAGGUAGGUAGAUACCUAAUUUAAUCUUAUUUCAUAACUUUAAUCUUAUUUUGGGGGAAUGGGUGACCCUAGUGUGCACGCACAUGCGCACACACCCAUCUUGUCCUGAGUUGUAUUUCAAAGACUUCUUGUUUGGACUGACAAUGAAGGACACCAUGGCUGAAACACUUUCCUCCAAUUCCCUAAUUCCUAGGUUAAGACAUCCAAAUACUAGGUGAUGGUAAAGGGUGGGAGUCGAUAGAAUGAACCAUGGGGAAUGACUUAGAGAAAACACCCCUCUCUGCCUUGUGUACAACCAGAACAGAGAGACACAAGGAGGGGCAGCAAGUCUUUACUGGGUACUUUUUCUAGCCAGGGCGUCUGGGCCUCCCCAGCACCUCUACCCCCUCAGGAGUGGUCCUUUAUGAUGUAUCAGCUCCCCAGAGCUGCCAUUGGCUGUCGGGAGUGUCCUGAUGACCAAACAAAGCAGAACAGGUGUGACUCCUCGUUGUCCUGGGGAGAGGUAUAUAUACAGGGGGCAGGCCUGGCAGACAGGUAGACAACUGAGUGGCUUCAACAUGGCAAAAGUGACCGAUCAAUCUUGGGAGCCAAAAACCACAAGCACCAAGCGGUGGAAGAAAAGGAAGACCCUCUCUCAGCCUGGAUCAAGAGGCAAGGUGGUGAAGAUAUAUAAGAAGGUAAAAAGACCACUCCAUGUGUGUUCAAGAAAAAAUUACUCCCCAAAAGUUAUAACUACAAGAAGACAAAAGAGAACAAGAAGGGCCAAGCUUCAGCCAGUUCCAUAGACUGAGCCAAAUGCAGCCAGGCCAGGUCUAACAGCCCCUGUAGAACGACACCACUCUGAGAUAAGACCUAAGCAAACAGCACCUGCAGAGCAAGCUUCAGAGACCUGAGAACAAUCUGCUAUAUCUAAGAGUCCUGGCUGCGGAGAAAUGGCCAACUGCGUAGACACUGGCUCAGACACUGAUGUGAAACAUGGGACACAAAUGCUGGUUAUUAAAAUCAGCAAGGUGUGAGAAGCCCCUCAAAAAAAAUACAAUAAAAUUAGGCACUCUGCAUACAAAUGAA